UCUGUUAGUCUUGGAGGCCAAGGCUGAGUGGGUUUAUCUCUGUGCCCCUCCAGUGACUUCAAAGAAUGCCAAAAGUCUCUCGAGUGUGCCUGUGUGCACACACAGACACACACAAAGUCAUUCAACAUUUAUUCAACCAAAAAUACUAAGUCAGCUCUAUACAAACUAAUGGAAGGAUACAGCUAUGCAAAUACAGAAGAACACUAAACUGUUACAUGACAGAUGUAUGAGGAAGAAUGUGGAUGGGCUUACACUUUCCUGGGGAUACCUAUUGGUCGUCUGUCAACAGAUAAUUAUUGAGAAUCUUCUCUGUACCUAGCUCUGCUCUAGAUACUAGAGACACAGCUAUGACAAGACAAAAUUGAUGUGUAUGACGAUCUUGUAUAUUACUGAUUGUAAACUGACAACACACAUGUGAAAAAAUAUAUAAAGAGAAAAACUUCAAGUACUUAAUAAUGCCAUAAAAAGACAGACUGAAGAGAUAUGAUUGAAAGUCACCUAGUCAAGACAAUGCAUGAGACUCUGAAAUAUGCUGGUCUUUGGGGAUGUAUUGCUUGAGAGCUGAUAAAUCAGAAGGUCUUCCAGGAGAAGAUUUUGUGGCUUGUCCUUUCACUUUUUAUGCCCUGUUUUGAUUAACAUAAGUUCUUAAUUUCAACCCAGUCACAUACACCAAUAUUUUUAUUUAAUGCAGCUUAAAGAUUUUAUAAUAUCAGAUAUUAUUUCACAAUAGCAAUUAUAUGUAUUGUUUAAAAAAUCCUUCUCUUGUAUAUCUUCUAAAAGCUUUAGAGUUCUGCCUUUGACACUUAAAUCUUGAAUACACCAGAAGUUGAAUUUUCUGCAUGAUUUGAAUAUCUUUAUAAAGACUCGGUUGUCCCAACACCAUUUACUUCAAAGCUUUUUCAUUCCCCAGUG
rnacentral:lncRNA from 1 species